UGGCCUAUCUUGUUGGUCUGUAGGACCGGAGUAAUGAUUAAGAGGGACAGUCGGGGGCAUUCGUAUUUCAUUGUGAAGCUGAAAUUCUUGGAUUUAUGAAACACGAACUAC
rnacentral:rRNA from 1 species